CAAUAGCGUAUAUUAAAGUUGUUGCAGUUAAAAAGCUCGUAGUUGGAUUUCUGAUCGAGACAUCAGGUCGGGUCCGAGAGGAUCAUGUACUUUGAUUUUGUUUUGACCAUCCUUGGAGAGAGCAUUUCUGGCAUUCAGUUGUCGGGAUUGGGAUCCUCAUCGUUUACUGUGAAAAAAUUAGAGUGUUCAAAGCAGGCCUCGGCCUCUGAAUACAUUAGCAUGGAAUAAUAAGAUAGGACUUUGGUGGUCUAUUUUGUUGGUCUGCACGCCAAAGUAAUGAUUAAUAGGGAUAGUUGGGGGUAUUCGUAUUCAAUUGUCAGAGGUGAAAUUCUUGGAUUUAUGGAAGACGAACUACUGCGAAAGCAUUUACCAAGGAUGUUUUCAUUAA
rnacentral:rRNA from 1 species